rnacentral:rRNA from 1 species
AUUGAACGCUGGCGGCAUGCCUUACACAUGCAAGUCGAACGGUAACAGGUCUUCGGAUGCUGACGAGUGGCGAACGGGUGAGUAAUACAUCGGAACGUGCCUAGUAGUGGGGGAUAACUACUCGAAAGAGUGGCUAAUACCGCAUGAGAUCUACGGAUGAAAGCAGGGGAUCGCAAGACCUUGUGCUACUAGAGCGGCCGAUGGCAGAUUAGGUAGUUGGUGGGAUAAAAGCUUACCAAGCCGACGAUCUGUAGCUGGUCUGAGAGGACGAUCAGCCACACUGGAACUGGGACACGGCCCAGACUCCUACGGGAGGCAGCAGUGGGGAAUUUGGGACAAUGGGCGCAAGCCUGAUCCAGCAAUGCCGCGUGCAGGAUGAAGGCCUUCGGGUUGUAAACUGCUUUUGUACGGAACGAAAAGCCCUGGGUUAAUACCCUGGGGUCAUGACGGUACCGUAAGAAUAAGCACCGGCUAACUACGUGCCAGCCGCCGCAGUAAGAC